UCUCUAAGUGGACGUAACUUUGCCUCAAGGGCAAGGUGAACCACUAUACAUGUUUGUGUCACUAUCUCUCUCUCCAUCAUGAUCCAUACUUAGUUCCCCGUAUUCUCUCACAGAAAAAACAGCAUUGCUAUCCUGGCAGUUGCACAGAAUAUGCAGGAGCUUUACAUCUUGCUCCUUAUUUUUCUGAGUGCAUUACAUCAGAGGAUCUGGAUGACAUGAAUAUUGAAAUCAUGAGGAAUACUCUUUAUAUGGCAUACCUUGAAGACUUACAGGUUUUGUCAGACUAACUAGGUGGUGCCACAGCAUAGAUUAUGUCUGACUUGCUUUUGAGGCUGACAGAAGGGCUGUCAAUAUUACCAUAAAUAGCCCUCGAACAGAGCUAAUUACCCGAGAUGAUCAGAAGAAAUGGUAUACUAACUUUGGUUUAUUUUAGGUCACACUGUGAUUAGUU
rnacentral:lncRNA from 1 species